AUACGUAGGGGGCGAGCGUUGUCCGGAAUGAUUGGGCGUAAAGGGCGCGUAGGCGGCCCGGUAAGUCUGGAGUGAAAGUCCUGUUUUUAAGAUGGGAAUUGCUUUGGAUACUGUCGGGCUUGAGUGCAGGAGAGGUAAGUGGAAUUCCCAGUGUAGCGGUGAAAUGCGUAGAGAUUGGGAGGAACUCCAGUGGCGAAGGCGACUUACUGGACUGUAACUGACGCUGAGGCGCGAAAGUGUGGGGAGCAAACAGGAUUAGAUACCCUGGUAGUCCACACCGUAAACGAUGAAUGCUAGGUGUAGGGGGUAUCGACCCCUUCUGUGCCGCAGUCAACACAAUAAGCAUUCCGCCUGGGGAGUACGGCCGCAAGGUUGAAACUCAAAGGAAUUGACGGGG
rnacentral:rRNA from 1 species